rnacentral:rRNA from 1 species
UACGGGGGGGGCAAGCGUUGUUCGGAAUUACUGGGCGUAAAGGGCGCGUAGGCGGCGUGGUAAGUCACUUGUGAAAUCUCUGAGCUUAACUCAGAACGGCCAAGUGAUACUGCUGUGCUAGAGUGCAGAAGGGGCAAUCGGAAUUCUUGGUGUAGCGGUGAAAUGCGUAGAUAUCAAGAGGAACACCUGAGGUGAAGACGGGUUGCUGGGCUGACACUGACGCUGAGGCGCGAAAGCCAGGGGAGCAAAAGGG